UAAUACCGGAGGCAGCAGGGCUGAAUCUUGCAUACUGCGCGCAUGACUGAUGCCCCCAUGCCGCAAGUGUCUUUAACCCCUUCUGAUUGUGACGCACUCUGGUACAGAAACAACGGUUAAUUCCUAAUACCUGCCCGCUGUGAUAUUACUGACAUAAGACGCGCCCGCUAUCUCCGUGCCAACAGCCGCCGUAAUACGGAUGGUGCGAUCGAUAUUCAAUCUUACUGCUCAUCCCCCGUACUCCCUUUGUUUGUUAACCCCUAUGUUAUCGCCCCGGUCACUGCCUGUCCACUGCAUUUCGAACUGUUCAAAUAUAUUCUGAUAGACGCCGGUAGAAUUUCGGGCGUAGCUGGCUAAAUGCUGACAGCUCAUGAGGAAUACCGAUGGCGAAAGCAGCCACCUGGGUCCCCACUGACGCUCAUGUAGACAACGUGGCGAGCCAACGGAUAACAUGCUCUGCUGAGACACGCCUAACACAAUAUCUAUUCCACCCUCGGAGCC
rnacentral:rRNA from 1 species